rnacentral:rRNA from 2 species
CUCAGAGUUAAGUGACGAUAGCCUAGGAGAUACACCUGUACCCAUGCCGAACACAGAAGUUAAGCCCUAGAACGCCGGAAGUAGUUGGGGGUUGCCCCCUGUGAGAUAGGGAAGUCGCUUAGCUUUA